rnacentral:misc_RNA from 2 species
AAUUCUCAACUACACCAGUUAAAAUGGGUGUAGCUUGGAUUUGGGGGUUUUUGCAGGCUCUUUCUUUUUGCUUAGCCUUGCUUCCCUGAAAAGCAUUAGUGGUAUCUGAGCAUCCACAGAUGUUGAUAAAUCAUUUCUACAUCUUGGUGGGCUGCACAUGCUGCUUCCAACUUGGCCAUUGGGUUGAAUGAACA